rnacentral:misc_RNA from 1 species
GAAAUGCUAUAAGUAAUGUGAAUUGCAGAAUUCAGUGAAUCAUCGAAUCUUUGAACGCACCUUGCGCUCCUUGGUAUUCCUUGGAGCAUGCCUGUUUGAGUAUCAUGAAAUCUUCAAAGUAAAUCUUUUGUUAACUCAAUUGGUUUCUACUUUGGUAUUGGAGGUCUUUGCAGCUUCACACCUGCUCCUCUUUGUUCAUUAGCUGGAUCUCAGUGUUAUGCUUGGUUCCACUCGGCGUGAUAAGUUAUCUAUCGCUGAGGACACUGUAAAAGGUGGCCAAGGUAAAUGCAGAUGAACCGCUUCUAAUAGUCCAUUGACUUGGACAAUACUUUUAUGAUCUGAUCUCAAAUCAGGUAGGAAUACCCGCUGAACUUAAGC